rnacentral:lncRNA from 1 species
UUUGGUUUCAGAAGUGUUUUUGUCUGCACACUGUGGUAUUUUCAGUCCAGAGUGGAAGGUAAUCCAUAAUCCCAGUGAACUGCAACUCUUGCUACAUUCACAUUAUGCCAAAUUCAUUAAUUGCUGCUUUAGCAGCACUGAUAUUACUCAAGGUGCAGCCUGGAUGGGUAGGGUGUGGAAGCAAUAAACUGUUGUGGUGCAGCUUUAAGGCCCAAAUUUUGAUUAGGUGGUAGUUUGGUCCUGGGGUUGUGGAAAGGGUCCCUGCCCAUGGCAGAGGGGCUGGAAGGAGAUGAGCUUUAAGGUCCCUUCCAACCCAAACCAUUCUGACAUUCUGCUCACUCAGGAUACAAUUUAACUGAAAAUGUGAUGGUGCUUUGAAAUGCUAAAUAGCACCUCAUGGAUCAGCUACAAAGAUCCAUUCAUAAAAGCAUUUUUCCACUUGACCCAGCUGCAGGUAAAAUCCUGUAAAAAUGAGCUUUAAACCUAAUUCAGUAAACCCAGAGGGCAGAUUAAUGUGGGAAUUUAAAAGCACAUUAACACCUGACUCAGAGGAAACAUCCAGGAAUUAGGAAUGAAACGUGUGUGCUGUGUCUUUAACAUGAAUUUCAAGGCAUUCUGUGCUUUUCUGCUGUGUUUUCCCUGCCUCAGGCCCUCGGAGGUGUCCCGGGGAGUCAGCCCCUCCUGCCCAGCGGGAUGGACCCCACACGGCAGCAGGGUCACCCAAACAUGGGCGGGCCGAUGCAGAGGAUGACUCCUCCAAGGGGAAUGGUGCCAUUAGGACCACAGGUACUUUCUACAGAGGGGUUAUCCUUAGUGACAGGCCUAUACUUAGUCUGUAUUCUCUGUCUUUGCUUAGCUUGGAGAUUCCCAGGGCUUGUUUUCAUAAUCCCUUUUCAAAAACAAACAAAAAAAAAUCUGUUAUGAGUUGCAACAAAAUUGAAAUGAAAAAUCUGUCAUUUUCAUAAAUAUUUGGGAUUUAAAGAAGAAUCCUGUCACUUGCUUUCUUUAGAAAAGUGUUUUUUGUAAUCAAGGACUGACACUGGCAAGGCAGACCUGGAGUGGAGUCGGUGUUUCCUCCUCCUCCUCCUCCUCACUGAUUAUGCUGUUUAGGAGGAAAAUAUUAAUACCUUCUAAGUUUGCCCAAAAUACCUCUCCAAAUUCUGUAAACUUUUUCUUUCAUCCACUGUUGAUGUAAAUUUUGUCACAGGCAGCAGAGAUUUUAGUGUAAAGUGAGACGUCCAGGCUGCCGUUUGUCCCCCUGAGCAUCUCUGGCUCUGUCCCAGGGGGACAAGGACAGGCCUGGCGCACCCCUGGAGCACAAAUGCAGGAGUUUGCUCUGUGUUUUGUCUGCGCUGCAGUCAGCAGCACGUGGGUGGUGGCGCUCCUCACUGGUGCUGCCAGUGUUUUGUUUCACAGUGGGCUUGUUGUGCCCACACUGUGCAUUUUUGCUUCCCCAUUUCAGAUAAUCUCCCUGCUGGCUUCUUGUUUGAAUAACAGCUAAACUCUAAAUUAUUGAAUAGCUUUGUCUUUCAAGUCUGUUCACAACUGUCUGUACAGUUUUGGGUAUUUCUGCUACAAACCAGUUGUGCAGUUCUUCACAAUCUCUGCUGAGCGAC